AGAGUUUGAUCAUGGCUCAGGAUGAACGCUAGCUACAGGCUUAACACAUGCAAGUCGAGGGGAAACGACAUCGAAAGCUUGCUUUUGAUGGUCGUCGACCGGCGCACGGGUGAGUAACGCGUAUCCAACCUGCCCAUCACUUGGGGAUAACACUGAGAAAUUGGUACUAAUACCCCAUAAUAUCAUAGAAGGCAUCUUUUAUGGUUGAAAAUUCCGAUGGUUAGAGAUGGGCAUGCGUUGUAUUAGCUAGUUGGUGGGGUAACGGCUCACCAAGGCGACGAUACAUAGGGGGACUGAGAGGUUAACCCCCCACACUGGUACUGAGACACGGACCAGACUCCUACGGGAGGCAGCA
rnacentral:rRNA from 1 species